CCUUGACAGACAAACGCGCGUUACGAGCUGACAAAGCUAAAAUUUUACUCGAAAAUUUAUGCCAAUAUAUGAACAGUUUUUAUGCGGAGUAAAACGUAUUGUUUAGUAUAAUAGCACACGCUUACAGACUACGUAAACAUGUAACUUAUUCUGGGUGCAAGGAGUAUCGAAGACUAUGUUUUGGACUAUGAAUUUGCAGUCUGAAUUCUGAAAGCGACACGCCGGCAGAAAGCGACACGCCGGCUAAAGGCAGAGACUAAAGGUAUGUUGUGUGCUUUAUAGUUUAGUACGUUUUGCUGUUUAUAUGCAUCGCUCCAUAUUUGCAUUUCGCCGCAAGUUUAGCUUUCGUUUUAUUAAAUUAUAAUAGCAUCACGAUGUGUCAGCUCACAGCUGCAUUGUUUGGCUGGCUUUAAUAUUAAUAUAUUAAACAAAUUUUAUCAAAGGAAAACCUGACAGAAUUCUUUCGUAUAAACCCAGUGUAUUAUUAAAUAUUUAGCGGUUUUAUGCUGGCGCUUUAAAACCGCUCAUCAGGGGUCGGUUGUAUUUAAAACUCCGAUCCAGACCAGAUCUCUGAAAAAAUAUUUCCAAAUUUAUAGACAAGCCAUUUCUGUCAGAAAGUUUGCUGUGAAUUUUAGCUUACUGUAUGUAUAAAAAGCUAAAUAAAUAAAUAAACCUAUGGUUAAGCUAACCAAACUUUUAAAAACCGUCUCCAAGGGGCUGGUUGUUUGGGUUAUUUAUAACCCAGCUUUGAACAACUGGCCCCAGAUAGCUAAAAUUGAAAUGCGACAGACUCAAUCACUGUGGACAAAUUCAUCAGAUCAGGUGAAGCCACAUAUCAAUGGUUUAAGCCGGCUAAUUAUUAAUGAGUAUAUAUUAUUAAAACUAAAAAUCUAAUAUUUUCCUUACACCAUAAUUGUGCAAUUUUGGUAAUUUGAACUAUCAAAUGAAACAUAUUUAUACGUAAUGCCAGUCGUCCCCAAGGGGCCUGUUGUUUGGGUUAUUGCUAACCCUGGGUUAAUGAUAACCCAGCUUUGAACGACUGGCCCCAGAUAGCUAAAAUUUAAAUGCCACAGAUUCAAUCACUGUGAACAAAUUCAUCAGACCGGGUGAAACCACAUGUCAAUGGUUUAAUUAAGCCGGCUAAUUAUUAAUGAGUAUAUAUGGUUAAAACUAAAAAUCUAAUAUUUUCCUUACACCAUGAUUGUGCAAUUUUGGUGAUUUGAACUAUCAAAAUAUGAAACAUAUUUAUACAUAAUGCCAGUCGUCCCCAAGGGGGCCUGUUGUUUGGGUUAUUGCUAACCCUGGGUUAAUGCAAACCCAGCUUUGAACGACUGGCCCCAGAUAGCUAAAAUUUAAAUGCCACAGACUCAAUCACUGUGAACAAAUUCAUCAGACCAGGUGAAACCACAUGUCAAUGGUUUAAGCCGGCUAAUUAUUAAUGAGUAUAUACUAUUAAAACUAAAAAUCUAAUAUUUUCCUUACACAAUUCCUUGUGCAAUUUUGGUGAUUUGAACUAUCAAAUGACACAUACAGACAGUAUUUAUACAUAAUGCCAGUCGUCCCCAAGGGGCCUGUUGUUUGGGUUAUUGCUAACCCUGGGUUAAUGCUAACCCAGCUUUGAACAACUGGCCCCAGAUAGCUAAAAUUUAUGUGCCACAGAUUCAAUCACUGUGAACAAAUUCGUCAGACCAGGUGAAACCACAUAUCAAUGGUUUAAGCUGGCUAAUUAUUAAUGAUUUGGAUUCUUGCACUUCACUUGGUGGAAUUAGAAUUAAUAUUAGAAUGUUAGGGUUUGUAAUCCAAGUGAGAACAUAUACAUUUUAUGACCUAACCAGGAACGACUACGAAAAAUGCAGCACAAGGUCCUCUGGUAGGAUUUGAACCUACGGCCCUGUGAUUCCGGUGCAGCACUCUAACCAACUGAGCUACAGAGGCCAGCAGUCGUUCCUGGUUAGGUCUUAAAAUGUAUAUGUUCUCACUUGGAUUACAAACCCUAACAUUCUAAUAAUUAUUAAUGAGUAUAUAUGAUUAAAACUAAAAAUCUGAUAUUUUCCUUACACCAUGAUUGUGCAAUUUUGGUGAUUUGAACUAUCAAAUGAAACAUAUUAAAAUUUAAAUGCCACAGUCUCAAUCACUGUGGACAAAUUCAUCAGACCAGGUGAACCCACAUCAAUGGUUUAAGCCGGCUAAUUAUUAAUGAGUAUAUAUAAUUAAAACUAAAUGUCUAAUAUUUUCCUUACACCAUGAUUGUGCAAUUUUUGUGAUUUGAACUAUCAAAUGAAACAUAUUUAUACCUGUACACGAUUCCAGUCGUUCCAAUGUUAAGGUGAAUGAGAACUGCAGGGGUGGGUGCCAAAUUCUUAGUUUGCUCAUGCCUUGCCUAACUUAGAAACUAUGUACAUAUUGUUUAUCAUGUUUAUCUGAUAUCAAAGUCAAAGGCUAUUUGCCAGACAUUGACUGACACAAGUUUUCCUUGUUCAUUCAAUGUCCAAUCUGCCUACUGUGCUAGAUUACAUAUUGAAUCACAUUUGAAGACAGAUUUCCAAAAUUGAAUACAUUUAACUGUCUCUUAAAAUUUGAUGUGCGCUACUCUACAAUUAUGUAGUUGAAGGGUCUUGUAGUCUAAUGAUGUAAAUUACUGAGUAGAAAUUUUAUACAUUUAUUAGACUUAACCAGGAUCAAAAAAUGGCGGUACAACGCUCUAACCAACUGAGCUACAGACACCAGUUGUCAAGCUCUAACCACAAGUUCAUGUAUAUAUAUAUAUACAGUAUAUACCCUUCAAGACCCUUUAACCACUAUUUUACUUUUUUGUAAGUGGUACAUGAAUAUUCAAAUGGCCAUAAUUCCACUAAAAUAAUUUCUUUUUUGCAGAGCAAUGUCUACUCACAAGCUAAACCUUCCCUUUUCUGUUCCCGAGGAAAUGAUCAGCAAGGAAAAAGACAGUGGUAUUACGUAUGACUUACAUUAAGACAAGAGCCAGUAAAGGUGUAUAAGAACUCUUACAUGUUUGAAGGCAGACAAGUCACAACAUGUGAUCAAAAUGCAUGUAGUACUCUUGGGGAGUGGCUUGUCUGUUGAAGGGCAUAAUAUACAUGUAUUAUACUGAUAAAAUCUGCGGUAAAGGUGAGGUUGGUUUCACAGAAAGUCAGAGACUAAAAUAAUAAAUCACCUGAACUCAGUAACUACAGUAACAAACAAAAUGUAAUAAAUUGGUACCUUAAUUAAUAAAUGGCAGCAUUUUUCUGACAUAAAUAAUAUAUAUGAAGUCAUAUUGAAUUAAACAAUGUAUAUUGGGAAGACAUAAACUGACUCCAAUAUUUCAUCUAUGGGCGCUUUCCAUUCAAUGGCCUGACCGGUCAGACCUGAAUACUUUUCUCAGUAUCAAAGGAAAGAUCUGGUCUAUGUUUCUCAAAUGUCUAGCGAAAAUGGACCUCAUUCUAAUGUUAUCAAAAUUUUCCGGUUAGAUAGGUCCGAAACCCAAAUGUUUUGUGUUUCAUUCAACAAUUUGACCGUUCUGACCGGUUUGGCCAUGUUAAUGGAAAGCGCCAUAUAUAUCUUUUUUAUCCAAACUUGUUUGGCAUUGUUCAGUCAACAACGAAGAGAAAUAAGAUUGCAGGGCAAUUUUUCAAUUUGUCCCUGCAGAUGCAGUGCCAAAAUUUCAAUUUGUCGCUGCAAAUGCAGUGCCAAAAUUUCAACUUGGCGCUGGAAAUGCAGUGCCAAAUUUUCAAUUUGUCGCUGCAAAUGCAGUGCCAAAAUUUCUUAAUUUGUCACUGCAAUUGCAGUGCCAAAUUUUCGACUUUGCGCUGCAAAUGCAGUGACAAAUUUUCAAUGCCAAAUUUUCAACUUGGCGCUGCAAAUGCAGUGCCAAAUUUUCAAAUUGCCAAUUUGUCACUGCAAAUGCAGUGCCAACUUGCAGUGAGAAAUAUAAAUGCUUCGUAGUUGCGAUAUCGGGCAAAAUAUCUCCGUUUUGUCAUCGUUUUUAUUCGGGUUGCAAAAUAUAGUAUUAUAUUAAAGAUUUUUCAACAAGAUAAUUUCCCAGUCCUGCUAAAUAUGCAUGAUUUUACAAUAAACGGCAUUGCUAUUCUCAUUUGCUUCAAGAUCAUUCAAUUUCAUUAAAAUUUCCUAAUUUCUUGCAAUGCUGCAGUUCUUGAUUUUGUUGGGUUUUGUUGCAAAUAUUAAUAAAAUGUAGGGAAUCCUGCAUGAAUGAAUAGACAGAUUGCAAGAAUCUCAUUAUAUUCCAAUUAUUAGCAGCAUAUUAGUCAAAUUUCGUGCAAAAACAGCAGAUUUGCUUAGGUUUUGUCCGGAAUUCAGUUAAAUAGAAUAUUUCACUUUGCUCUAGAACGUGUUAUUAAGACAUUACCUUAAGUUUCCAUUCUAUAUUUUUCUCAUAACAUGAUAUGUUUCAGAUAAUAAUUAACUGCUUUAUAUUUUUAUAGACAAAGAAGAGUUAAUUCUCUUAAGUGAGAGGUAUCGUGCCUUUGAGGAAUCGGAUGUAUUGGUCGAGUACUGCAUAUGGUCAUGAAAUUACAACUAAUGUGCGUACUGCUAUCAUCAUGGUUUGAAAAUUGGAGGUUUUUUACCAACUUCUGCUGAUCAGCAGGGAUCAAAGGAAAAGAAAACAAUUAUUUAAAUAAACACCAGUAAUGAAAAUAAAACAUUCAUGAUGACAUAUACUAGAUUUGUAGAAGUAGUUGUCCUGGGGUGAUGAUAGUAAUUCAGUCACUUUUGGGGAACAUUUUUAAAAAUGUACAUGUUUCAAUUUAUAUCUCAUAUUUUUCUCAGAACCAAUCCAUCACUACAUUAAACAUACAGUAUUUUCAGUGGUCAAGUAAUGAACAAUGAUUUGAUGUUUGGAAAGAGAGGUCACAAAAUAUGUUAAUGAAAUUUUAAUAACUUUUAUAUAUUUACAGUACAUAGUAAUUUAGUAUUAUUUUAUAAUAACA